rnacentral:tRNA from 1 species
CGGGGCGUAGCGCAGAUGGUAGCGCGCCUGGUUCGGGACCAGGAGGUCCAGGGUUCGAAUCCCUGCGCCCCGA